GUUGGAGCCGAGCAGAAGUUUCAAGAGAAGCCACUGGGUUGUGGCCCACAGACAAGCAAACUGAGGCCCAGGGAAGUGCCAGGCCUUGCCCAAGGCCAUACAUCUGUGAGUGGUGCAGCCUCUCUGCCUGUCCGUCAUCACUAGCUCUGCUGAGCCAGGCCCUGGCCAGGGCUCUGACCACCAAGGUGACCACAACUGGAACCCACUCUCACAGAGCCCCUA
rnacentral:lncRNA from 1 species